rnacentral:rRNA from 1 species
CCCCCAGACUCCUACGGGAGGCAGCAGUGGGGGAUAUUGCACAAUGGGGGGAACCCUGAUGCAGCGACGCCGCGUGGGUGAAGGAGUAUUUCGGUAUGUAAAGCCCUAUCGGCAGGGAAGAAGCAAGACGGUACCUGACUAAGAAGCCCCGGCUAACUACGUGCCAGCAGCCGCGGUAAUACGUAGGGGGCAAGCGUUAUCCGGAUUUACUGGGUGUAAAGGGAGCGCAGACGGCAGUGCAAGUCUGGAGUGAAAGCCCGGGGCCCAACCCCGGAACUGCUCUGGAAACUGUGCGGCUAGAGUACUGGAGGGGCAGGCGGAAUUCCUGGUGUAGCGGUGAAAUGCGUAGAUAUAAGGAAGAACACCAGUGGCGAAGGCGGAUGACUGGACGGCAACUGACGGUGAGGCGCGAAAGCGUGGGGAGCAAACAGGAUUAGAUACCCUAGUA